GCACUCGCUUCGGCAGCACACAUACUAAAAUUGGAAUGAUACAGAGAAGAUUAGCAUGGCCCCUGCUCAAGGAUGACAUGCAAAUUCAUAAAGCAUUCCAUAAAAAU
ensembl:snRNA U6 U6 spliceosomal RNA